AUUGAACGCUGGCGGCAUGCCUUACACAUGCAAGUCGAACGGUAACAGGCCGCAAGGUGCUGACGAGUGGUGAACGGGGGCGUAAUGCAUCGGAACGUGCCCAGUCGUGGGGGAUAACUACUCGAAAGAGUAGCUAAGACCGCAUACGAUCUAUUGAUGAAAGCGGGGGACCGCAAGGCCUCGCGCGAUUUGAGCGGCCGAUGUCAGAUUAGGUAGUUGGUGGGGUAAAGGCUCACCAAGCCAACGAUCUGUAGCUGGUCUGAGAGGACAACCAGCCACACUGGGACUGAGACACGGCCCAGACUCCUACGGGAGGCAGCAGUGGGGAAUUUUGGACAAUGGGCGCAAGCCUGAUCCAGCAAUGCCGCGUGCAGGAAGAAGGCCUUCGGGUUGUAAACUGCUUUUGUACGGAACGAAACGGCUCUGGUUAAUACCCGGGGCUAAUGACGGUACCGUAAGAAUAAGCACCGGCUAACUACGUG
rnacentral:rRNA from 1 species